UUGAGAAUCCUGUUUACUGAAAUCUUCCAUUUUCCCCACAUAACAGGUACAGCAUGGGUAGCAGCAGUACAGAAAACAUCCUUAUCAAUGAGUCUGAAAUAUGACUUGAAGGGAUCAACUUCUAGGGAUGACAGGAUUGUUCAUUUUCUUAGGUUAGAUAAAUGCCUAU
rnacentral:sRNA from 1 species